UUAGGAACGCCAAGUGAGUGAUACCAUGCUUCCAGGAAAAGCCACUAAGCUUCAGUUGAAUGAAGACCGUACCGUAAACCGACACAGGUGGGUAGGAUGAGAAUUCUAAGGCGCUUGAGAGAACUCAGGAGAAGGAACUCGGCAAAAUAGCACCGUAACUUCGGGAAAAGGUGUGCCCUUUGUAUGUGUAGCGCCUCGCGCGUGAAGCAGAAUAGGGUUGCAAUGAAAUGGUGGCUGCGACUGUUUAAUAAAAACAUAGCACUCUGCAAACACGAAAGUGGACGUAUAGAGUGUGACGCCUGCCCGGUGCCGGAAGGUUAAAUGAUGGGGUGCAAGCUCUUGAUUGAAGCCCCGGUAAACGGCGGCCGUAACAAUAACGGUCCUAAGGUAGCGAAAUUCCUUGUCGGGUAAGUUCCGACCUGCACGAAUGGCGUAACGAUGGCCACACUGUCUCCUCCUGGGACUCAGCGAAGUUGAAAUGUUUGUGAAGAUGCAAUCUCCCCGCGGCUAGACGGAAAGACCCCGUGCACCUUUACUGUAGCUUUACAUUGGACUUUGAUAACAUUUGUGUAGGAUAGGUGGGAGGCUUUGAAGUGGAUUCGCCAGAAUUCAUGGAGCCAACGUUGAAAUACCACCCUGAUGUUGUUGAGGUUCUAACCUAGAUCCAUUAUCUGGAUUGGGGACCGUGUAUGGUAGGCAGUUUGACUGGGGCGGUCUCCUCCCAAAUUGUAACGGAGGAGUACGAAGGUACGCUAGGUACGGUCGGAAAUCGUGCUGAUAGUGCAAUGGCAAAAGCGUGCUUGACUGCGAGACUGACAAGUCGAGCAGAUGCGAAAGCAGGUCAUAGUGAUCCGGUGGUUCUGUAUGGAAGGGCCAUCGCUCAACGGAUAAAAGGUACGCCGGGGAUAACAGGCUGAUUCCUCCCAAGAGUUCAUAUCGACGGGGGAGUUUGGCACCUCGAUGUCGGCUCAUCACAUCCUGGGGCUGUAGCCGGUCCCAAGGGUAUGGCUGUUCGCCAUUUAAAGUGGUACGUGAGCUGGGUUUAAAACGUCGUGAGACAGUUUGGUCCCUAUCUGCCGUGGGCGUUGGAAGUUUGAGUGGACCUGCUCCUAGUACGAGAGGACCGGAGUGGACGCACCUCUGGUGUACCGGUUAUGACGCCAGUCGUAUCGCCAGGUAGCUAUGUGCGGAAGAGAUAACCGCUGAAAGCAUCUAAGCGGGAAACUCUCCUCAAGAUGAGACUUCCCGAGGGUUUAACCCUCCUAAAGGUUCGUCGAAGACUACGACGUUGAUAGGUCGGGUGUGGAAGCAUAGUGAUAUGUUAAGCUAACCGAUACUAAUUGACCGUGAGGCUUGAUCC
rnacentral:rRNA from 1 species